rnacentral:rRNA from 1 species
UACGUAGGGUGCGAGCGUUGUCCGGAAUUAUUGGGCGUAAAGGGCUCGUAGGCGGUUUGUCGCGUCGGGAGUGAAAACACCGGGCUUAACUCGGUGCUUGCUUUCGAUACGGGCAGACUAGAGGUAUGCAGGGGAGAACGGAAUUCCUGGUGUAGCGGUGAAAUGCGCAGAUAUCAGGAGGAACACCGAUGGCGAAGGCGGUUCUCUGGGCAUUACCUGACGCUGAGGAGCGAAAGUGUGGGGAGCGAACAGG